GAUGAACGCUGGCGGCGUGCCUAAUACAUGCAAGUAGAACGCUGAAGGAGGAGCUUGCUCUUCUGGAUGAGUUGCGAACGGGUGAGUAACGCGUAGGUAACCUGCCUGGUAGCGGGGGAUAACUAUUGGAAACGAUAGCUAAUACCGCAUGACAACAGUUAUUGCAUGAUAACUGUUUAAAAGGGGCAACUGCUCCACUACCAGAUGGACCUGCGUUGUAUUAGCUAGUUGGUGAGGUAACGGCUCACCAAGGCGACGAUACAUAGCCGACCUGAGAGGGUGAUCCGCCACACUGGGAACUGGACACGGCCCAGACUCCGACGGGAGGCAGCAGUAGGGAAUUUUCGGCAAUUGGCCGAAGGCUGGCCGGGGCACGCCGGGUGAGGGAAGGAAGUUUUCGGGUCGUAAAGCUCCUUUGUAAGAGAAGAACGAGUGUGAGAGUGGAAAGUUCACACUGUGACGGUAUCUUACCAGAAAGGGACGGCUAACUACGUG
rnacentral:rRNA from 1 species